CCUACGGGAGGCAGCAGUCGAGAAUCAUUCACAAUGGAGGAAACUCUGAUGGAGCGACGCCGCGUGGGGGAAUGAAGGUCUUCGGAUUGUAAACCCCUGUCGUGUGGGAGCAAAUUAAAAAGAUAGUACCACAAGAGGAAGAGACGGCGAACUCUGAGCCAGCAGCCGCGGUAAUACAGAGGUGUCAAGCGUUGUUCGGAAUCACUGGGCGUAAAGGGUGCGUAGGCUGUUGCGUAAGUCGGGUGUGAAAAGCGCGGGCUCAACCCGCGGACGUCACAUGAUACUGCGAGACUAGAGUAAUGGAGGGGGAAGCGGAAUGCUCGGUGUAGCAGUGAAAUGCGGAGAUAUC
rnacentral:rRNA from 1 species